AUAUAAAUCAUGAUUCCAUGAUCACGAAGGUGUUUCCCCAGGGCGAGGCUUAUCCAUUGCACUCCUGAUGGGCUGACCCCUGGCGAUUUCCCCAAAUGCGGGAAAUGCGACUGCAUAAUUUGUGAUAGUGGGGGGACUGCGUGUUCGCGCUCUCCCCUG
ensembl:snRNA U1 U1 spliceosomal RNA